UACGUAGGGUGCAAGCGUUGUCCGGAAUUAUUGGGCGUAAAGAGCUCGUAGGCGGUCUGUUGCGUCGGCUGUGAAAACCCGAGGCUCAACCUCGGGUCUGCAGUCGAUACGAGCAAACUAGAGUGUUGCAGGGGAGACUGGAAUUCCUGGUGUAGCGGUGAAAUGCGCAGAUAUCAGGAGGAACACCGGUGGCGAAGGCGGGUCUCUGGGCAACAACUGACGCUGAGGAGCGAAAGCGUGGGGAGCGAACAGG
rnacentral:rRNA from 1 species